rnacentral:rRNA from 1 species
UACAGAGGUCUCAAGCGUUGUUCGGAUUCAUUGGGCGUAAAGGGUGUGUAGGUGGCGCCGUAAGUCGGGUGUGAAAUUUCGGAGCUUAACUCCGAAACUGCAUUCGAUACUGCGGUGCUUGAGGACUGGAGAGGAGACUGGAAUUCCAGGUGUAGCGGUGAAAUGCGUAGAUAUCUGGAGGAACACCGGUGGCGAAGGCGGCAUCCUGGACCAAUUCUGACGCUGAGGAGCGAAAGCCAGGGGAGCAAACGGG